rnacentral:lncRNA from 1 species
UUUCAGGAAAACAGAAGGGCCCAUCCCAGGGCUGGGAAGCCAAGCAGCCUGGGGAGAAGGGUAAAGAAACGUGCAGACGGAUGUGUCUGUUCCCCAGGAUGCUCCAUGCACUCUCGGAUGGGCUCAAGACCAGCCACCAGCCAGUAGCACAAGAGUGAGGAACGGCACCCAGGGCACUCGGGAUGCAGUCAUCAAAUAGCUCACCCUGCAGGUAGGCGGGAAGAUUCCCUUCACCCGUCCUUGUUUCCAAGACUGUCCAGGAUGCGAGGAAGCAGGCUGGCGAAACCAAGCAGCGCAGCUAAGUAGGUCACAUUUAUUGCAAAGCUCUUCUCUGAGCUGCCAAAGCUCACGGAUACCAGAUGGCCCUUUCAGAGAGGCCUGCCUCUGUGACCUGGGACUAAACAAAGAUGAGUGCUUUGGAGAAAGAAUAUACGGAUUGAAAAUUAUUCUUGCUAAAAUGUAAAUGACUGAUAUCAGGAAAGCAAUGGGAGAUACCAGAAAUCGGAGGGAAAGAUUACGGAGCAGACAAAUGGAGAGGUGCAGACCAGAGAAUUCUAUCUGGAAUCAGAAAACCAGAUGUGCUACUUCCCAGCCUCCUUGGUCUCCCGGGAUCUUGAUCUCCUCACCUGUGGAGCUGGGGAAAUGCUUGUAAACUGAGUGACGGAACUGAUGACAAUGAAGGAACAAUAUAAACCACCACCGUUCACGCACAGGCUGCUCUGUGAUUUGGGGAUUUCACUAGGUCCCCAACAACUGGACCAGGGCUUUCAUUUAUUUCCCUUUAAAAAAAAAGUAAUGGAUGCUCAGAUGGAAAUCUGUGAUGUAGGAUUGAAGUCGCGUCCUCCAGUGAGGUUUUCGGGGGUCGGGUGAGCUGGCUGGUGGGGACUGCAGCCGUGCACCAAGUUUCUGAUGUGCCUUGAGUCCAGGGGUGAUUCUCCCCCUUGAGGGAGCAGCCCACAAGCCAUUUGGUGGCUCCCAGGUCCUGGCUGCUGAACGGUGGUGUGGCUUGAGAAGGGUAGCCUGGUGCAGAGCCGUCAUGUCUCGGUGCCCAGCCUGCUCACCUGCAAG